rnacentral:rRNA from 1 species
AUUGAACGCUAGCGGCAUGCCUUACACAUGCAAGUCGAACGGAGCGGCGGACGGGUGAGUAAUAUAUCGGAAUCUGCCCAGUAGAGGGGGAUAACUACUCGAAACAGUGGCUAAUACCGCAUACUAUCGGAUCGACCCAUAUGGGAUUAGCUAGUGGGUGGGGUAAAGGCUCACCUAGGCAACGAUCCGUAGCUGGUCUGAGAGGAUGACCAGCCACACUGGGACUGAGACACGGCCCAGACUCCUACGGGAGGCAGCAGUGGGGAAUAUUGGACAAUGGGGGAAAGCCUGAUACAGCCAUCCCGCGUGUAUGAAGAAGGCCUUCGGGUUGUAAAGUACUUUUAGCGGGGAAGCGUUAUCUGCAGAAUAAGCACCGGCUAACUACGUGCCAGCAGCCGCGGUAAUAC